UUUUUUCUAAAGCAACCUAAAAGUAACAGCUGAUAACUGACAGAAGAAAGAAUGCAAUUACAGAGACACAAGCUGUGAAAAAAUUUGUCAACGCCGACUAUAUGAAAAAUCCGCAAUUACUUUUUGGGCAACCCAAUAAUUAACAUGGGUGUACGCAUGGAAAAGAUUAUAUAUACUGCAAACAUUUUAUGCGUAGAUAUUGUGGCACUUUGAGACAAUAACGUUGUGUAAAAUUUUGUGAAGUUCGGUUGAGAAAUGCGCUUCUAAAACCUCUAGAAGUGAAAAUUGGACGAUGUAUAUGAGGGAGAUUUAUCUAAAUCUGAACCAACUAUCAAAUGCACCAGUAACAUCAAGAGUCAUAAGAGAAACCCUUGUGCAAUAUAUCGUGAGAAUCCGAAAACCAAUGACGAUGUUAUUCACAGAAAAUUUUUUUUGAAGAAAAUCCACGCUUUUACUUGUUUAAAGUUGCUUUAAGGGACGCUGCAAAGGUAAACCGAUAGAGACAGCAAAGAAAGCCAUAUUUUUUGUCGCUCUUUUGAAAUUUCUCUUCGCUAAAAUUUGGCAUUUCAUGAAAAAAUAUACGAGCCAACAUCGAUUCGAAAUUUUUAAAAUUUACUACCCAAAUUCGUAGUCAGUGGCCUCAUCGUUUUCAUCGAAAAGUCAUCUUCAGCGAUGAGGCUCAUUUCUGGCUGAACGGUUUCGUCAAUGUUCAGACAGCAAUCCACACGUACUCUAUGAGUCAUUAUUGCAUCUCAAAAAAAAAAAUUAGGAUUGGGUGCGGUUUAUGGGCCGGCGGUGUCAUUGGGCCAAACUUCUUCCUAGAUAAUCAAAGGCCGCACGUUACAGUGAAUGUGAGUCGCUACCGUUCAAUGAUAAAAGAAUAUUUUUGUCCCCAACUGGAUGAUAUGGAUUUGUUCCAAUAGGACAGCGCGACAAGCCGCGCGAAUGUCACAUCAAUUUAUUGGAAACCAAGUUUAGAGAAGGUGCUAUCUCACGAAAUGUUCUAGUCGAUUGGCCGCCUCGGUCGUGCAAUUUGACGCCGUUAGACUAUUUUCUGUCAAGUCUGUGGUCUAUGCCAACAACCCAGAGACGAUUGAUGAAAUUCGUACGAAUAUGUAACGCGAAAUUGCAGCAGUAUCGGUCGAUUUAUGCUUGAAACCCAUUCAGCGUCUAGACUUCUGCAAGCAUGCCUGUGAUGGACAUGCAAAAGAAAUCGAAUUACAUACAUCAUGGAGACGAACGUGCUUCCACAUAAUAAAGAAUUUCGUUGAUAAACACAA